GGAUUAGAUACCCUGGUAGUCCACGCCGUAAACGAUGGAUGCUAGAUAUCGGGUUUAGAUUCGGUGUUGGAGCUAACGCAUUAAGCACCCCGCCUGGGGAGUACGGUCGCAAGAUUAAAACUCAAAGGAAUUGACGGGGACCCGCACAAGCGGUGGAACAUGUGGUUUAAUUCGAUGAUACGCGAAGAACCUUACCUGGGUUUGACAUGUUAGUGAAAGUUUUCUGAAAAGAAUUCCCUUUAAGAGCUUGCUCUUAAACACUAUCACAGGUGGUGCAUGGCUGUCGUCAGCUCGUGCCG
rnacentral:rRNA from 1 species